UCACUUUCUUAGGCAAUUUGUUUAUUAAAAAAAAAACAAAAAAAACAAAACAGGGAAGUGUGACCAAUGUAGUCACGACUCUAGGAAGGUAUAAGGUGAUAUGAUUGAAGAAUCUAGAGCAAGAGCCGCAAAAUUGGGCCACUCAAGCACUUAAGUCUGGGAUGUGCAAAUAACAAACAUAAUAAAUAGCCAGAUUGAGUGAUGAAAAUCAAAUAGGUUGAGUCUAUGCUUUGAGUUUGUCUUGAAGGUUCAUUAUAUACUUGUCACUCCAAGAGUGAUAUUUCUUCAUCUCUUGUGUUUUUCUGUUGGCUCUGAACCUCCUCUGUCCAUCUUGCCUUAUCUCUCUGAGCAUGAAAUCUAAUCCAUAUUCUAUCUAUCAGAGUUAGUUGCAAUUGUUUUGUUUGCACAUGUGGUUAUCUUC
rnacentral:lncRNA from 1 species